AGAGUUUGAUCCUGGCUCAGGACGAACGCUGGCGGCGUGCCUAAUACAUGCAAGUAGAACGCUGAAGGAGGAGCUUGCUUCUCUGGAUGAGUUGCGAACGGGUGAGUAACGCGUAGGUAACCUGCCUGGUAGCGGGGGAUAACUAUUGGAAACGAUAGCUAAUACCGCAUAAGAGUAGAUGUUGCAUGACAUUUGCUUGAAAGGUGCACUUGCAUCACUACCAGAUGGACCUGCGUUGUAUUAGCUAGUUGGUGGGGUAACGGCUCACCAAGGCGACGAUACAUAGCCGACCUGAGAGGGUGAUCGGCCACACUGGGACUGAGACACGGCCCAGACUCCUACGGGAGGCAGCAGUAGGGAAUCUUCGGCAAUGGACGGAAGUCUGACCGAGCAACGCCGCGUGAGUGAAGAAGGUUUUCGGAUCGUAAAGCUCUGUUGUAAGAGAAGAACGAGUGUGAGAGUGGAAAGUUCACACUGUGACGGUAUCUUACCAGAAAGGGACGGCUAACUACGUGCCAGCAGCCGCGGUAAUACGUAGGUCCCGAGCGUUGUCCGGAUUUAUUGGGCGUAAAGCGAGCGCAGGCGGUUAGAUAAGUCUGAAGUUAAAGGCUGUGGCUUAACCAUAGUAGGCUUUGGAAACUGUUUAACUUGAGUGCAAGAGGGGAGAGUGGAAUUCCAUGUGUAGCGGUGAAAUGCGUAGAUAUAUGGAGGAACACCGGGGCGAAAGCGGCUCUCUGGCUUGUAACUGACGCUGAGGCUCGAAAGCGUGGGGAGCAAACAGGAUUAGAUACCCUGGUAGUCCACGCUGUAAACGAUGAGUGCUAGGUGUUAGACCCUUUCCGGGGUUUAGUGCCGUAGCUAACGCAUUAAGCACUCCGCCUGGGGAGUACGACCGCAAGGUUGAAACUCAAAGGAAUUGACGGGGGCCCGCACAAGCGGUGGAGCAUGUGGUUUAAUUCGAAGCAACGCGAAGAACCUUACCAGGUCUUGACAUCCCUCUGACCGCUCUAGAGAUAGAGUUUUCCUUCGGGACAGAGGUGACAGGUGGUGCAUGGUUGUCGUCAGCUCGUGUCGUGAGAUGUUGGGUUUAGUCCCGCAACGAGCGCAACCCCUAUUGUUAGUUGCCAUCAUUUAGUUGGGCACUCUAGCGAGACUGCCGGUAAUAAACCGGAGGAAGGUGGGGAUGACGUCAAAUCAUCAUGCCCCUUAUGACCUGGGCUACACACGUGCUACAAUGGCUGGUACAACGAGUCGCAAGCCGGUGACGGCAAGCUAAUCUCUUAAAGCCAGUCUCAGUUCGGAUUGUAGGCUGCAACUCGCCUACAUGAAGUCGGAAUCGCUAGUAAUCGCGGAUCAGCACGCCGCGGUGAAUACGUUCCCGGGCCUUGUACACACCGCCCGUCACACCACGAGAGUUUGUAACACCCGAAGUCGGUGAGGUAACCGUAAGGAGCCAGCCGCCUAAGGUGGGAUAGAUGAUUGGGGUGAAGUCGUAACAAGGUAGCCGUAUCGGAAGGUGCGGCUGGAUCACCU
rnacentral:rRNA from 1 species